UCGAAUAGCUGAGAGGUAAAGUAUUAAAUUGUGAUUCUAAAAGACGUGGGUUUGGAUCCUUCUACGA
rnacentral:tRNA from 1 species